rnacentral:rRNA from 1 species
CAGCAGCCGCGGGAAUACAGAGGGUGCAAGCGUUAAUCGUAUUUACUGGGCGUAAAGGGCGCGUAGGUGGUUAUUUAAGUGAGAUGUGAAAGCCCCGGGCUUAACCUGGGAACUGCAUCUUAUACUGGGUAACUGGAGUGCAGUGGAGGGUAGUGGAAUUUCCGGUGUAGCGGUGAAAUGCGUAGAUAUCGGAAGGAACACCAGUGGCGAAGGCGGCUACCUGGACUGAGACUGACACUGAGGCGCGAGAGCGUGGGGAGCAAACAGGAUUAGAUACCCCCGUAGUCCCUGUCUCUUAUAC